UCAAGCAAGAAAGAGCACAAGGAGAAUGCCUUGGCACUAGGAGCCGAUGAAAGACGUGGUAAGCUGCGAAAAGCUUCGGGGAGGCGCAAACAGCCAUCGAUCCGGAGAUAUCUGAAUGGGGAAACCUACUUGAGCAAACCUCAAGUAUCCAUAUGUGAAUCCAUAGCGUAUGGAAGGGAACGCUGUGAACUGAAACAUCUAAGUAGCAGUAGGAGGAGAAAGAAAACUCGAUUUCCUAAGUAGCGGCGAGCGAACGGGAAAGAGGCCAAACCGAAGGACCUGGUUCUUCGGGGUUGCGGACUGCAAUUAGCAUUGCUGAGAGAUAGACGAAUGGUUUUGGGAAAGCCAGCCGUAGACGGUGAAAGCCCGGUAGACGAAAUCUUGAAGCAGCGAGCAGGAUCCAGAGUACCACGAGACACGAGAAACCUUGUGGGAAGCCGGGGGGACCACCCCCCAAGCCUAAAUACUCCCUAGUGACCGAUAGUGAAGCAGUACUGUGAAGGAAAGGUGAAAAGGACCCCGGGAGGGGAGUGAAAGAGAACCUGAAACCUUGUGCUUACAAACAGUCAAAGGCCUACGGGCUGAUGGCGUACUUUUUGUAGAACGGUCCGGCGAGUUACUAAUGCCAGCGAGGUUAAGAUGUCAGAAGCAUCGGAGCCGAAGGGAAACCAAGUCUGAAUAGGGCGUAGAGUUGGUAUUAGUAGACCCGAAACCGGGUGACCUAUCCAUGUCCAGGUUGAAGGAACCGUAAAAGGUUUUGGAGGACCGAACACACAUGUGUUGAAAAACGUGGUGAUGAGGUGUGGAUAGCGGAGAAAUUCCAAUCGAACUCGGAGAUAGCUGGUUCUCCUCGAAAUAGCUUUAGGGCUAGCGUCGGUUAAUUGAGUAAUGGAGGUAGAGCACUGAAUGGGCUAGGGGGCAUAGCGCUUACUGAACCUUAUCAAACUCCGAAUGCCAUAUACUUUUAUUCCGGCAGUCAGACUGCGAAUGAUAAGAUCCGUAGUCAAAAGGGAAACAGCCCAGACCAUCAGCUAAGGUCCCAAAGUGUAAGUUAAGUGGUAAAGGAUGUGGGAUUUCUAAGACAACUAGGAUGUUGGCUUAGAAGCAGCCACUCAUUUAAAGAGUGCGUAAUAGCUCACUAGUCAAGAGAUCCCGCGCCGAAGAUGUCCGGGGCUAAAACUUACCACCGAAGCUAUGGAUGUACACUACGUGUACGUGGUAGAGGAGCUUUCUGCAUUGGCUGAAGUCGUACCGAAAGGAGCGGUGGACGAUGCAGAAGUGAGAAUGUUGGCAUAAGUAGCGAGAGCUAGGUGAGAAUCCUAGCGGUCGAAAACCUAAGGUUUCCUGAGGAAGGCUCGUCCUCUCAGGGUUAGUCGGGACCUAAGCCGAGGCCGAAAGGCGUAGGUGAUGGACAACAGGUUGAUAUUCCUGUACUGCUUGCAGACGUUAUUACAAAUGGGGUGACGCAGGAGGAUAAGUUGUGCAUACUAUUGGAUGUAUGUUCAAGCACUUAGGAGUAGCUGGUAGGCAAAUCCGCCAGCCGAAUCUGAGGUGUGAUGAGGAAGCUCAUAAGAGUGAAGUAACUGAUUCCACGCUGCCAAGAAAAGCCUCUAUGGAGGAAGCAAGUACCCGUACCGCAAACCGACACAGGUAGGUGAGGAGAGAAUCCUAAGACCAGCGGAAGAAUUGCUGUUAAGGAACUCGGCAAAUUGACCCCGUAACUUCGGGAGAAGGGGUGCCUACGCAAGUAGGUCGCAGAGAAUAGGCCCAAGCAACUGUUUAGCAAAAACACAGGUCUCUGCUAAAGCGAAAGCUGAUGUAUAGGGGCUGACGCCUGCCCGGUGCUGGAAGGUUAAGGGGACUGCUUAGCGCAAGCGAAGGCAUGAACUUAAGCCCCAGUAAACGGCGGCCGUAACUAUAACGGUCCUAAGGUAGCGAAAUUCCUUGUCGGGUAAGUUCCGACCCGCACGAAUGGUGUAACGAUCUGGGCACUGUCUCAACUACCCACCCGGCGAAAUUGUAGUACCGGUGAAGAUGCCGGUUACCUGCGGCAAGACGGAAAGACCCCAUGGAGCUUUACUGUAGCCUGAUAUUGGGUUUCGGAAAUCUAUGUACAGGAUAGGCGGGAGACUAGGAAACAUGAGCGUCAGCUUGUGUGGAGUCGAUGUUGGGAUACCGCCCUUAGGUUUCUGGAAUUCUAACCUGCGGCCGUGAAUCCGGUCGGGGGACAUUGUCAGGUGGGCAGUUUGACUGGGGCGGUCGCCUCCGAAAAGGUAACGGAGGCGCUCAAAGGUUAGCUCAGCACGGACGGAAACCGUGCCUCUGAGUGUAAACGCAAAAGCUAGCCUAACUGCGAGGGUGACGGCCCGAGCAGUAACGAAAGUUGGAGUUAGUGAUCCGGCGGUAUGUGAAUGGAAAUGCCGUCGCUCAACGGAUAAAAGCUACCCUGGGGAUAACAGGCUGAUCUCCCCCAAGAGUCCACAUCGACGGGGAGGUUUGGCACCUCGAUGUCGGCUCAUCACAUCCUGGGGCUGUAUUCGGUCCCAAGGGUUCGGCUGUUCGCCGAUUAAAGUGGUACGCGAGCUGGGUUCAGAACGUCGCGAGACAGUUCGGUCCCUAUCUGUCGUGGGCGCAGGAUAUUUGAGGAGCUCUGUCCUUAGUACGAGAGGACCGGGAUGGACGUACCUCUGGUGCACCAGUUGUCAUGCCAAUGGCACGGCUGGGCAGCUAUGUACGGAACGGAUAAACGCUGAAAGCAUCUAAGCGUGAAGCCGACUCCAAGAUUAGAUAUCCCAUCGUAUAACGAGUAAGACCCCUUGAAGACUACGAGGUUGAUAGGCUGCGUGUGUAAGUGCCGUGAGGCAUUCAGCUUGGCAGUACUAAUAGGUCGAGGGCUUGACCAC
rnacentral:rRNA from 1 species